rnacentral:lncRNA from 1 species
GUCAAAUUUCUCAUCUUUUAUUGUUUUCCUGAUAUUGUUUAGUUGUUUAUUUGUAUUUUUCUGUCACUCACUGAGCUACUUUAAAAAGAUUACUUUUAAUUAUUAGUUAGAAAGUUUGUAUAUCCUAUUUCUUUAGGGUUGGUUACCGGUCCUUUUUUUCCUUUGGUGCUCUCAUGUUUCCCCGAUUCUUUACGACCUCUGUGGCCACGUUUUUAUGCCUGCAUAUUUGAGUAGUUUUUCACCUUUUCUAUCUUUACAGACCGGCAUAUGUAGGAAGAGCCCUUCACAAAUCAGCUUGCCCAGAGAUUCUGGGAGAACUAUAUGACUGGAUCCAUAGGCAGACUUGCUGUUGGAGUCCUUGAGCAGGGUGGCUUGGUGCUUUGGUCAGCAGAGGGUAUCUCCCUCCACACUGUGCUGCCUGGGCUUGAUGUAGGGGUGAUGUAAGGAAUGUCAAGCUGUCCUUCCUAUCCUAUUCAGUAAGUCUUUUAUUAUUUCUGUGCUAAACCCACGUGACAUAAUUUUUACUUGUCGUGAAGGUAAUUUUAUGUGUAGGUAGUUGUUCAAAUUGAUGCCUAUGUGAGGAGAUGAGGGCCACCUUGCUAACAUCACUCCACUCCAUAUUCACUUUUGAAAUAUUUUAUUGUCACUUUGGCUAAAUGGAUAACUAAGUAUUGUUUCACAUUGAUCUGUGAUUCCAUUUAAUUAAGUAUUCAAAUUUUUUGAUAUUUUGCCUUCCGAAAAUUAAAUCAUAAAUGUAAUCUUAAACUUGAACUGACUUUGAAAUUUCCCAUAGGGCUCUGGAAAAUCUCAAAGGAUUUCUUCUUUGACUUCAUAAAAAUAGAGAUUAAAAAAAAUUAGGUCUGUUUGAUAUGCUCAAGUGCAUAAAAAGUAUUGUCACAUAAGAAAAAAAUGUGACCUUCCCUAGACUGUAUUUGUAUAGGUAAAUAGGAAAAUAUUCUUCAUAUAAAUUUUUCAUAAAUUUUAUGAAGUAUAUAGAAUUUUGUCAUUUUUGGCUGCCCCAUAAUAUGUCCUGGUAUAAUGUGAUCAGUCAUAAUUCCAGUUACUAUUUAAAAUGUUUUAUGCCAUGGAAUAACCGAAUUUUCUCAUUAAAUGACCUCUCACUAGCUCUUAAAUCACAAUCAUUUUAAGUCUUUUGUCAUCCACAGAUAGUCUGUUUUACUCUGAUGCUUUUCUGAAAGCUCUUGCAGUCCGCUACAAGCCAGAGUGCUUCAUCUUUAACAAAAUGUGACUAUCUCUGUGACCCAUGGAAAGAACAAUAACAGGUAAUCCGGGGUACAAGCAUCUGAUGCCAUUGCUUAAAUAACUUUGAGACUGUACACCUGGUCUAAGUCUACAGUUCCGGAAAUUUAAUGGAGAAGCUGAUGGGUUCUUCAAACUGGUAGCCGAAGUUAAAGCAGAACAAGAAUCAAUUACAUACGGCAGAUGAACUAAUGAAGUGUGGUUGUUUUUUAUGGUGCUAUUUUGGAACAUCAUUAGCUCUUUAAUGUUUUAUAUUAUGGAUGUAAGAAACCUCUUUUAAAGCCAUUAUAUUAUAAAUAAUUUUGUAGAUGAUACUUUUGUAAACAGAUAUAAAACUUUUAUAUAUUUAUCCCUGCUUAUCCCUCCAGAAUUUAGAAAUGCUUAUUGAGUAUUCUAAUUCCCAUUGUGACAUAACUACUUGCAUACGUUCAAUAAGAAUCUUUCCUCCUAACAUGAUGUAAUUAGAAAUAUCAGUUAUAUUACUCAGGUUUUGAAUGGAAUGUCAUAUUUGAAAAUGACAUUCAUAGAAUCAGAUAUGAUCAGACAGUUUUAAGGAACUAUGCUGACUUUAUGAGGUCAAGGCUUACAAAAUCCUCUUGAAAAAAUUAGCCUGGUACCUGGCUUAUAGCAUGCUUAGCCUUACAGUGAGUAUAGAAGGUCACUUUCCGGUACUCUCAGGAACCAUAGGAUAUUUUGGAGACCUCAAGAAGAGAGGCAGUCAUUCAAUUCUGUUUUAAGCCCUGGAGACCCAGCUCUUCACUCUCACCUCAGAUCUGAGACGUGAUGCCACACCUUUUCCUCCAGCUGCCAUGACAAAAUACUACAGAUGGGGUAGCUUAAACACGUCGUCUGUGAGUGGGUGUUUCUCACGAUUCUGGAGGCUGCACAUCUGAGAUCAAGACGUCAGCUGCCUUGGUUUCCUCUGAAUCUUCUCCUCGGGCUGCAGAUGGACACUGUCUUGCUGCCUCUUCCUCUGGUCGUCUCUGUGCAUGCGUGCCCCCAGGGUCUCUGCGUGCCCUAAUCCCUGUUCUAAUAAGGCAUCAAUGCCUUUUAUCAGUUUAAGAGGUUACCUUCAAUACCAGGUUACUGAGGAUUUUUGUCACAAAUUUCUUCAAAUCUUUCAAAUCAGUUUUCUGAUAAUGAGAUUCUUUGGGAAUUUCUACAUAGACAAAAUGUCAUCUGCAACUAGAGAUUGUUUUCUUUCUUCUUUUCCGAUCUCUAUACCUUUUAUUAUUUUUCCUUCUCUUAUUAUAGAAGCUAGAACUUCCAGUACCUUUUUAUUGAGUAAGAAAGAUGAAAAUGGACAUUCUUACCUUGUUCCCUACUAUUUGGAAAAGCAUUUAGUCUUUAUUAAGUCUGAUGUUACCUGUAGAUUUUUUGUAGAUGG